GCAUGGGGCAGUUUAGAGAGGCCAGAAAUGGGCGGUGUGGUGGUUUGGAGCAGACAGAUGGAGAGAGACGCUUCGUGGCACAGCAGUGUGGAGGAGACUGCUCGCCGUGUUUGCUGUUGACGGAGAUUGGCAUAGCCCCCUCCCGCCCCCCUAAGAAUCCAUCAACCCUAAACAUCUGGGAAAAAAUAAAGGGGUCUUGGUUCCCUCUCCCCACUAACCUUCUCUCUCCUACCUAGGGUUGGACCACUGUGAGUUUGAGGCCAGCCUGGUCUAUAACACGAGUCCAGGACAACCAAGGCUACACAGAGAAACCCUGUCUCAAAAAAAAAAAAAAAAAAAUCAACAUAGCUGGCACACAGCAAAAUAAUCCCUUUCUGCAGGAAGUCACAUGACAGUUACACACAUGAUCACGGGAGAGGAGUUGUUUAUUUACAGGAACUUGGGCACCUUACAGGCAGCUACAUCACUGAAGAACAUGUCUCUCCAUUCUGCCAUCAACCACUAACUGCCUACAGAACCUCAGAGGAGUAUGGGGUCUCACGAGCCGCUCUCCAGUUCAUAGUACGGCAUUGGUGGGUCCAGUCUUGUGCGGAUCCUGUGAAGGUGGUCACAGCUGUUGUGAAUUCAAGAGUGCAACAGCCAUGUCAUGCCCAAAAGACAGCAUUCCAAGCAUUCCACGGUACUCCAUCCCUUCCUCUGGCUCUUCUGUUCUUUCUACUUUCUCUUCUGCACUGUUCCCUAAGCCUUAGGGGUGGUGCUCUAGCCUUCCUGUUUAUGGUUAAGCAUUACAUGGACACUUACUCUCAUCACCUUGACCAGUUAUGAGUCUCUGCAGUUUUCACUGCUCACUGAAAAAAAAAAAAAAAAAAGAAGAAGAAGAAAAAGAAGCUCUUUGACCAAAACUGACAGCAGCACUGAUCUAUGAAUAUACAUGCAAUUAUUUAGAGAGCAAUUUGACAGGCACAUCCUGUCCGUUAAACAAAACAACAGUCCUAUGACCUCCUCUGAAUUCCCUCCUGAGGAGCAGACCUCACACAUCAGAAAGUAGUUUACUGCUCCCAUGACAGACUGCCACUCUUGCACGAAGAGGGCACAUCCAACUUGGCAAACUCAGCAAUAGUAUUAUCAUUAUCGUUAUUGUUGUUGUUAUUGUUAACACCAGCAGGCACAUUCUGCUUAGCAAACUUAGAUACUGGCUACGAAUAAUUACAGUUUGCUUUUAUUACAUUUUUUUUUUCGGAUGGUAAAGAU